UACGGAGGGUGCAAGCGUUAUCCGGAUUCACUGGGUUUAAAGGGUGCGUAGGUGGGCUUGUAAGUCAGCGGUGAAAUCUCCGGGCUUAACCCGGAAACUGCCAUUGAUACUAUAAGUCUUGAAUUAUCUGGAGGUAAGCGGAAUAUGUCAUGUAGCGGUGAAAUGCUUAGAUAUGACAUAGAACACCAAUUGCGAAGGCAGCUUACUACGGAUACAUUGACACUGAGGCACGAAAGCGUGGGGAUCAAACAGG
rnacentral:rRNA from 1 species